rnacentral:rRNA from 1 species
CCCUUAGAUGUUCUGGGCCGCACGCGUGCUACGCUGAGCGGAUCAGCGGGUCAGGUUACGCGAGAGCGUUUCCUAAUCUUCAAAUCCGCUCGUGAUGGGGAUUGACGGUUGCAAUUUUCCGUCAUGAACGAGGAAUACCUUGUAAGCGCGGGUCAUCAUCCCGCGCUGAAUACGUCCCUGCCCUUUGUACACACCGCCCGUCGCUCCUACCGAUUGAGUGGUCCGGUGAGGCUUUGGGAUCUAAGCGAAAAGAGCGUUUCGCUCCUUUUGCUGGGAGAACUCAGUCGAACCUUAUCAUUUAGAGGAAGGAGAAGUCGUAACA